GAACUCAGUAAUGUGCUUUUGGAUGAACGAAUGGCCUGAUAUAAGUUGAUCUGAAGCACAUUGUUGGGUUU
rnacentral:pre_miRNA from 1 species